rnacentral:rRNA from 1 species
CCUACGGGAGGCAGCAGUGGGGGAUAUUGCACAAUGGGGGAAACCCUGAUGCAGCGACGCCGCGUGGGCGAAGAAGUAUUUCGGUAUGUAAAGCCCUAUCAGCAGGGAAGAAGAAAGGAGGUUACUGGAGAAAGAACCACGGGUCAAAAACGUCCCAGCACCCGCGGUAAUACGUAGGGUGCAAGGGUAACCCGGAUUAAUUGGGUGGAAAGGGAGCGCAGGAGGGAAGGCAAGCCCGAAGUGAAAGCCCGGGGCCCAACCACGGGACUGCAUUGGAAACUACCAGGCUGGAGUGCCGGAGAGGUAAGCGGAAUUCCUAGUGUAGCGGUGAAAUGCGUAGAUAUUAGGAGGAACACCAGUGGCGAAGGCGGCCUACUGGACCGUAACUGACGUUGAGGCUCGAAAGCGUGGGGAGCAAACAGGAUUAGAUACCCUUGUAGUC